AUACCAUGGUGACAGCAUUUUUAUAAUAACUGCUUGAACUGUUCUCAUGCCUCCUAUAGAGAUUCAUUAUCAAGUUGUUGAAAUGUAGUGAUCUCAUUCUAAACUUU
rfam:Gossypium arboreum cultivar AKA8401 contig_56761_1, whole genome shotgun sequence.